AACGAACGCUGGCGGCAUGCCUAACACAUGCAAGUCGAACGAGAUCUUCGGGUCUAGUGGCGCACGGGUGCGUAACGCGUGGGAAUCUGCCCUUUGGUUCGGAAUAACAGUUGGAAACGACUGCUAAUACCGGAUGAUGACGAAAGUCCAAAGAUUUCUCGCCAGAGGAUGAGCCCGCGUAGGAUUAGCUAGUUGGUGUGGUAAAGGCGCACCAAGGCGACGAUCCUUAGCUGGUCUGAGAGGAUGAUCAGCCACACUGGGACUGAGACACGGCCCAGACUCCUACGGGAGGCAGCAGUGGGAAUAUUGGACAAUGGGCGAAAGCCUGAUCCAGCAAUGCCGCGUGAGUGAUGAAGGCCUUAGGGUUGUAAAGCUCUUUUACCCGGGAUGAUAAUGACAGUACCGGGAGAAUAAGCUCCGGCUAACUCCGUGCCAGCCGCCGCGGUAA
rnacentral:rRNA from 1 species